rnacentral:rRNA from 1 species
GAUUCUGGCUCAGGAUGAACGCUAGCUACAGGCUUAACACAUGCAAGUCGCGGGGCAGCAUGGUCUAGCUUGCUAAGACUGAUGGCGACCGGCGCACGGGUGAGUAACGCGUAUCCAACCUUCCCCUUAGUAGGGCAUAGCCCGGCGAAAGUCGGAUUAAUACCCUAUGUUCUUCGUAGAUGGCAUCUGAGACGAAGCAAAGGUUAGCGCUAAGGGAUGGGGAUGCGUCUGAUUAGGCAGUCGGCGGGGUAACGGCCCACCGAGCCUUCGAUCAGUAGGGGUUCUGAGAGGAAGGUCCCCCACAUUGGAACUGAGACACGGUCCAAACUCCUACGGGAGGCAGCAGUGAGGAAUAUUGGUCAAUGGGCGAGAGCCUGAACCAGCCAAGUAGCGUGCCAGGACGACGGCCCUACGGGUUGUAAACUGCUUUUAUGCGGGGAUAAAGUGCCCUACGUGUAGGGUAUUGCAGGUACCGCAUGAAUAAGGACCGGCUAAUUCCGUGCCAGCAGCAGC